GAUCCGGUGGCCAUGUGGUUAAAGCGUCCUUCUCAGAUGCGGGAGGUCGUGGGUUCUAUCCCCGGCCGAGUCA